GCCAGGUGUGGUGGCACAUACCUGUAGUCCCAGCUACUGGGGAGGCUGAGGCAGGAGGAUUGCUUGAGCCCAGGAGGUCAAGGCUGCAGUUAGCCAAGUGAUUGUGCCACUGCACACCAGCCUGGGUGACAAAGCAAGAUCCUGUCUCAA
rnacentral:SRP_RNA from 1 species